rnacentral:piRNA from 1 species
UCACAGAAGCUGCUGCUGCUCUCC